GCCCAGCUGGUUCAGUCAAUAGAACAUGUGACUCUUGAUCUUGGGGUUGUGAGUUCAAGCCUCACAUCGGGCA
rnacentral:tRNA from 1 species